rnacentral:rRNA from 1 species
CCUACGGGAGGCAGCAGUAGGGAAUCUUUCACAAUGGGCGAAAGCCUGAUGGAGCAACGCCGCGUGCAGGAUGAAGGCCUUCGGGUUGUAAACUGCUUUUAUAAGCGAGAAAUAUGAUGGUAACUUAUGAAUAAGGAUCGGCUAACUACGUGCCAGCAGCCGCGGUAAUACGUAGGGGGCAAGCGUUAUCCGGAUUUACUGGGUGUAAAGGGAGCGUAGACGGCAGCACAAGUCUGGAGUGAAAUCCCGGGGCUUAACCCCGGAACUGCUUUGGAAACUGUGCGGCUGGAGUGCAGGAGGGGUAAGCGGAAUUCCUAGUGUAGCGGUGAAAUGCGUAGAUAUUAGGAGGAACACCGGUGGCGAAGGCGGCUUACUGGACUGUAACUGACGUUGAGGCUCGAAAGCGUGGGGAGCAAACAGGAUUAGAUACCCGAGUAGUC